CGGCUGCAUUCGCUAGCACCUCCAUGAUGGAGGCUAUUUGAGUGUGAAAAACCAUACAGUUAGCCAUUGCUAGCAGCUAACUAGCGUUACCUAAAAAAAAACGUAUUUUAACCAAGUCCCGCCCCCAACGCGAAUUAAAGACUACAUGGGGAAUACCAUUACAGAAUCACCCACCACAACAGGACCAAGCGGUGUGGUAACGGGCAACAGCAAAAGCAGCAGCAGGAGAAGCAACAGAGGCAGCAGCAGCAGGAGCAGCAGCAGCAGCAGUGGGAGAGGCUGCACUAUUUGGAGGAAUGGACAUGGGAGGAAGAAUUGGAAGGUAAAGGACCCUGGGCACAGCCUGGAGAAUAUCGCCGCCCCAAAGAAGAGCUGGAGGCGGUGAAGGCGGAGAGGCGCUGGUAUGAGGAGGCAGCACGGCGGCGUGGAUGGAAGCCCGAGAGUCAGCCCCAAAAAUUUCUUGGGAGGGGUCACAAAAAAACAGUUUUAUUAGUGCAUUGUAAAACAAAUAUUAUAUUAAUGAUGAUAGGUCCUUUUUUUCAAUAUUAAAUUAUUAACCUAAUGUUCUAAUAAUUUUUAGGGAUCCUGUCAGUCACAGGCCCUUAGAAUUGUCCUAACUUUCCCCCCCAUACGGCGCUGUAUGGGUCGAUCUGCGCGCUCUCGUGCGGUCUUCAGUUCCAGUAGCUGUAGUUUCCUCUGUAAUCACGUUCUUUCUGGCUUUGAGUUAGUUCCAAACAAAACACAGCAGUCGUCUACAAGUUUACAGAUCUCUGCCACGGCUGCAUUUGCUAGCACCCCUCCAUAUGGUUCACAUCCCUUUGACAGGAUUUCUUACAAUGCUUCGGUUGUCAACUCACUGAGUCCCCAAAAAGCAUUCUGCUGCACUCUGAUUUCUUCAUUUGUGCUGUGCAGUUUAUGACCAUUGCAAAAAAUGCUACAAAGUUCACCCGUUUCACAUGUAAUAUAGUGCAUUCAGAAAGUUCAGACCCCUUGACUCUUUCCACAUAUUGUUACCUCUUAAAGCCUAAUUCUAAAAUUGAUUAAACCCCCAAUCUACACACAAUACCCCAUAAUGACAAAGCAAAAACAGGUUUAGACAUGUUUGCAAAUAAAUGUGAUAUAAUAGAAAUUGAUAUGAUUUAUAUGUUUAAGGUAAUGUUAAGAUAAUGACAAAAUAUUCCACCCUGAAACCAUAUAAUUGUGUGAAAUUUAUUAGAAUCAUAAAACUAUAAUCUGAUGUGUGUAGUUUUAGUCAGAAUUAGGACCUUUUUGUUCCUUUUUAGUAUGUAAGCAGGGUGCAAGUGGGAAACAAAAGGUAAGAGGAGCUAUCGACAGACAAGUUGUACUACUGUACUCCUUACAGGACAUUCUGUCUCCACCCGCAGAAAAUUAUGAAACAUGUUGCAGAUUCAACAAUGUAUCUGUGUAGUGGAAAAACACUGGCUGUCUGAGCAAGGCAUACCUUAAGAUUUGAACUUGUUUGUGUGUGUUAUAAACACUGUUUGCAUUUUUGAUUUUAGAGCGCUCUCGUGAAUAAACAUUUUGACUAUUCUAA